GGUGUCCCCUGUGUCCCCAGACCUGGUGCAAACCCUUUGUGCCUGCCUGGCUAUUUCACACUUGGUUCAGUAAAUGGGGCUUACUGAACCAAGUACCACACAGGCAGACCACCCAGAAGUGGAAGUGUGCAGGCAAUUUACCUCCCAGAAGCUGCGGUUAACCGCAACCUAAUUGACAAUGCUGGGAGGUCUUUGUUCGUUUGC